ensembl:lncRNA
CCAGGCAGCGCAGUGCAAACGAGGUGUGGAGUCUGGCAGUCCACACACACACACACACACACACACUGCCAACCCAACGACUAUCACCAUGGUCUGCACUGCUACACUGACUGCCAAACUUAUUAAAAAUAUAUAUGUUUUAUAAUAUCUAUUCCAUUUUUUUUGUGUGGUUGAAGAUGAUGCAUCAGCCGAUUAAUGAGCAAUGUUUUUAAAAUGUCAUAUCACGAAUACUGAGAAAAUAAAUAACCCAAAAAACUGAAAAAACAGUGAUGUGCGUGUGUUUGUGUGUGUGUGUGUGUGUGUGUGUGUGUGUGUGUGUGUGCGCAUGUGGAUGUGUGUGUAUGCGAUCGUGAUAGCAAGGAAUGGGGUCUUCAAACUCCCGUGAUCACUCUGUCUGAGGCUUUUCCAGCACUCCUCACCCUCUGUGUAUUACCAUACAGAGUUCUGUCCAAACCGGCCCUUUGUAUUCCAUCCCUCUAUUGUCUGCAUUCAUCCAUUCAUUGUCCUCAUUCAUUUCUUCAUUCAUUGUCUUCAUCUUUCCAUUAAUUUCCCCUGUUGAUCACCUCAUUUGUGUUGGUCCCAUUUUAAUUAAAACGUUUAAAAUUGUAAAUGUUAAAUCCUGUGUUUGUGUUAUCCACUGUUUUUCCUCUCUUCUUCCUCUAUUCUCCUCUCUGUCUCUCUCUCUCUCUCUCUGUCUCUCUCUCCCUGUCUCUGCCUCUGUCUCUCUUCCACUCUGUCUUUCUGUCUCUCUCCCUCUCUCUCUCUCGCUCUCUCUCUCUCUCUCUCUCUCUUUCUCUCUCUCGCUAUCCUUGUAUUUGUCUCUGUCUUUCUUUCUGUCUCUCUGUGUGCGUCUCUUCCUCUCUCUCUGUCUCUGUCUCUGUCCCUGUCUCUCUCUCUCUCUCUCUCUCUCUCUCUCUCUCUCUCUCUCUCUCUCUCUCUCUCUCUGUCUUUCCCUCUCUAUAUGUGUGGCUGUGUGUCGUAUCUCUAUCUCCUAGGACUCCCCCGUUGGUCCCUAUCUUGGUAUUUAGGUCUCUAAUUGAGUUGGCGUCACUGAGUACUCCAUGAAGCACUCUUGGAGAAUUACCCCAUUGUCCAAUGAAGCCUGCUCCCACUGUGUGUGUGUAUGUGUGUGUGUGUGUGUGUGUGUGUGUGUGCGAUAGAAGACGGAGGGAAAUAGCAGCGCUCAGAUAGGAACUGAAUGUGUUGCGUGUUAAUUGCUCUGCAAGUAUGUGUGUGUUUGUGUGUGUGCGUGUGUGGAUGGUUAUGUAUGCAUUCGUUUCUCAAAUCCCACUUUGUGCAUUUGUACCCUUCCCUCAAUCCUUAGAAGUGUUUACUUCCCUAGAAGUAAACACUCUCUGUUGUACAACUCAUUCCCAUCGUCCAUUCUUACCAAAGCGGCUGCCAUUUUGUAACUCCCCUACUGUUUGAUAACACAAUUCACCCAUAAUACCCCAGCGUUACAAGGCUGCGUUAUAGCUGCGCUAUGCAACCAUGGCUGGCUCCCGAUGCACAUCAGCUGGCCAAUCAAUGUGAGAAAGUACCUCGACCUCAAAUUUCCGCCGGAAUCGUGUUGCGGUGCGUGAUUGGACAGUUAGAUAUCAGGCUAUUACACCGUUUUUUUGGGGGAUUUUAAUCUCUCGAUGUUGAGCAAUAAAGCAGGGGUGCAGCGUGUGAAAUAAAUGUAUAAUUAACCAUAAGCGGCAACAUUGUUGGUCCCCCCGAGCCCUGCUACCCAGACUGCCGUCCCUGGCAGGAGAUGCGGGGCGAGGUGGUUUUGAGCGAGUGUGUGAUACACAACCUUUCGUUUGUGUGUGUGAGAGGAUAUAGAGCCAAAGAUUAAUAGUGAGGAGUAAACUGC